CAAGCAACGGCCAGGUAUUUUGCUGGAAGGCAGUGAUAUCUUUCAGAGUAGGACACGCUGGUGUGGUCUUAAUCUCUAGAAAUGUUAAUACAUCACCUGGUGGAGACUGCCAUUAUUGAGGCCAAAUUUAUCUUAGUCCCAGGUUAGGAGAGUAACAUUCUUUAGCAUUUUUUCCAUCUUGCAUUUCAUCUUCCAAGGAUAUUGCAAGACCCAAAUAAGGAGAGAUCUUGCUUGGGAUCAGUUUUGGGUUUUAGUCCUCCUGCAGCAAAUUCAUAGAGAGAGAGAGAGAAAUGAGAAGUCAAGAGCAAAGCUCUCUCCUAAACCCUACAGUUGUGUUUAGGUCUGGUGUCAGUGACAUUGUCUGGUGACAGUGAUCAUAUUAGUAAUGUACGCUGCAUGUUUGCUCUGUUAUGCAUUCCCAAACAGCAGCAGUGUCACUUGAAAUAAUGACCAAACCCCUUCCCAGUUGCUUUGCUCUAUUUUCACAGAACCAGAAUUGCUGUCCAUGGCUUGGACAUGAUGGUCCUUCGAAAGAGAUGUAUCUGCAAGCCGUGGAUUUCCUUCAUUUGAACCAGGUGAUCCACAGAGAUCUGAAAAGCUCCAACAUCCUUCUGGGAAUGGACAGCACUGUCAAGUGUUCUGACCACUGUCAAGGCUGAUUUUGGUUUCUGCACUCAGUUGAUCCCCGAGCAGGAUCAACGGAGCUCCAUGGUGCUCCACUGCUCAUCAGAUGGCCCCAGAAAUUGUGAGUGGUUCUCCUUAUGGCCCCAAGGUAGACACCUGGUCCUUUGGUGGGACAGUGACCCAACAGUGGGUGGAAGGAGAACAUCCUUAUUUCAAGCAAACUGUGGCCAUGGCAAGAUGCAGAUGUCCAAGUGUUUGCAUAGGCCUGUGUACCCAGGGUGGCUCUGCACUGGGAUGAGCCGCUGGACGUUUGUGCACAUGGUGGAAGGGAAUUCCCAGAGGACUCACUGAAAUUGGCUGUCAGUGCAAGCUCAUUUGGAUGCAGCUGUGGAUGCAUCAGAGUUUGGGUUUUAUUGUUUAUUGUAGAAAAAUGAUCUGUGAGCAGUAUCUGCCCAGGAGGCCACUGCCCCUGGAGCUCAGAAUCGGGUUGCUGUGAGCAGCUGUGGGUGUGAAGGGAACUGGUGCAGUGCUGUGUUGGCUUUUCCCCAGGCUCUGAUAGGGCAGGAUGGGCAGUGCAGCUGUGGGCCCAGGUGCUGUGGGCUCUGCUGCAGGACUUCUUCAGUGCAGCCUGGAGCUGGGUGAGGAGCAGUGCUGC